UUGACGCGCAUGAAUGGAUUAACGAGAUUCCCACUGUCCCUAUCUACUAUCUAGCGAAACCACAGCCAAGGGAACGGGCUUGGAAUAAUCAGCGGGGAAAGAAGACCCUGUUGAGCUUGACUCUAGUCUUGACUCUGUGAUGAGACAUAAGAGGUGUAGCAUAAGUGGGAGCCUUCGGGCGACAAUGAAAUACCACUACUUUUAUCGUUUCUUUACUUAAUCAGUUAGGCGGAGGGCGGCCUCUCCUUUGUUUGGGAGGCCUUCCUUCAGGCGUUGUAACUGGGCGUCGUUCGUCGGGCAGCGGAGGAAACUUUUGUUGUUUCGGCGGGCGAAAUUAACGCCCAGGAUCUGCUGUGAUGACAGUGUCAGGCGGGGAGUUUGCACUGGGGCGGUACAUCUGUAAAAUAGUAACGCAGGUGUCCUAAGGUGAAAUCAGCGAGGACGGCAACCUCGUGUAGAACAAAAGGGCAAAAGCUCACAAGAUUUUGAUUUGACCAAUCCGCCCUUGGCCGGAUGUCAAAGUCCUCCAUCUAAUGCCCAUCCUAGCCGCUGCCGGCCACCGCGCGCUCUCUCCCGUCGUGCGGAGCAAACGUGACGCCCAAGGCUCCGUCU
rnacentral:rRNA from 1 species